rnacentral:lncRNA from 10 species
UCUUGAUUGACACGAGUGGCACCCUUCUGCAGAAGUAAAUUGCCUAGCUUAGAGAACUUCUGCCUGAGUGCUGGUUUCACUUUGCUGCACCAAGCAUUUAUUCCUAGAACAUUUUUAUAUUCAGCAAUUCUGGGGGCUCAUCCGGGAUCCCCAUUCUCCUUCAAGAAGGGGUCUUCAGUCACCCUACCCAGGGGAGAUGUGUCCCACUGCCCCAUUGUGGUGGCCUCAGGGAGGGGAGAUCAAGACCCACCCGUUGUUAUGAAUAAACUUGGACUCUCAGCAACACGGGGAGGAGAGGCUUGCAGUAUCGUGGCGACCAGCUAAACUCUGUGCACAGACCAAGUCUCCAUCACUCUCUGCUGCCUGGUAACUGGUAUUGGACACCUGGACAUCUGCAUCCCCGAGCCUUGAGAACCCAACACGUGUUCUGGAAUGACUGGCAGUAGCACCCCACCACUCAACCCCCAUAUGAGAAGAAAAAGGCCUCCUGCCUCCUCUUCUUUCACCAGACACUGUGGGCCCACAAUUCCCAUGUGCACCCCAAAGAUCCAAGCCACUAGCUCUCUCUCCACCUCUUGCAGGGUAGACCUUCUCCUUUUUUUUUGGCGGGAGCGGACAGAAUCCCACUCUGUCACCCAGGCUAAAGUGCAGUGGCGCGAUCUCGGCUUUUGUGUUAUACAAGGCUCUUUAUAUCAUGAUUAACACAAUAAGGUGCUUAAUCAUGAGUCUUAAUGUGGCUGCAUCCCACUCCCUAGGCUUCAAGGACAGAAAUUGCAUAUUUUUGAAAAGGUUAUUCUAAUGUACACCUGGGUUUGUGAUCCACUUAUAAGCCCUCAAAACCACUAAUCUGUUCUCCAUAAUUUUGUCAUUUCUGGAAUAUCACAUAAAUGAAAACAUA